rnacentral:lncRNA from 1 species
GUCCUACAAUGUUUUAGCACAGUAAUCUAAGUUGUCUCUGUAGUAUAAAAAACAGAGCAGAGUGUUUUUGGGGUUCCUCAGUUGCAGUGAGAUGUGAGGCACUUGCAGAGACUCAGUCCACCACCCUGGGCAGCUUUCACCACCCUGGGCAGCUUUUCCGAGACGUAGGGACUGGCUUGCCGUAAUUCAUAGCUUCUGCUGUCCCUUGCUACAUACCUACUCUCACUCUAUUACCCAGGCUGGAGUGCGGUGGCAUGAUCUCGGCUCACUGCAAACUCUGCCUCCCCAGUUCAAAUGAUUCUUCUGCCUUCUGCCUCAGCCUCCCAAAUAGCUGGAACUACAGCAAGGCCAACUUUUCUACCAGAUAACCCUGACCUCAUCCUGUCAGAAUUGAAUGGACCAAGAAUUGAGCUACCCUAAAAGGCCAGUUUUCUGGAAAUAGUUUGAAGAUACCGACUCAUGGUUAAAUGUUUCACAUUUACCCUCAGAAAUGAGUGCUACUGUUCAGAAACGGAGGUGCCCACUUUGCUUGUGGGAUUUAGGAGGAAAUGCCACACACUGUCAUAGAAAAAAUGGCGUCUCACUCUAUUGCCCAGGCUAGAGUACAAUAGUGCAAUCUUGGCUCACUGCAACCUCCCCCUCCCAGGUUCAAGCCAUUCUCCUGCCUCAGCCUCCCGAGUAGCUAGAACUACAAGCACGUGCACUGUACCCAGCUAAUUUUUUGUAUUUUUAGCAGAGACGGGGUUUCUCCAUGUUGGCCAGGCUGGUCUCGAACUCCUGACCUCAGGUAAUCCACCGCCUCAUCCUCCCAAAAUGCAUUAUCUCUUCCCAAAAUGCAUUAUCUAUUUCAUUAAGAAAAAGGAGAAAGCAACCAUGCUAAGCUUCAAAUAAAAGCAUGUGAGCACACCUGAUGACGCUAGACCCACUGGAAUCUCGCAUAACUCAUCCUGAACGUGUUGGGAAUCAAGUCUCUCAGGAUUAGCCCUGGUAAUCUGAAAGUCACCAGUCAUCAAGAAGUGGCAUCUCUACCAUGUGGUGCAAUCAUAGCCCUGAACUCAAAUUUCUGUCUGAUAUAUUUGAUGUGAUCCCUCCUUUUAUACCCUUUUAACUUCUGCUUGGAGAGACCCACUGACCUUGUAGCUGACUGUCAGAACUUUUCCUUGCCAGGCCAGCAAUAAAUUUGGCAUUGUUUUGGACAUUGAUUUGGUGGUCUUUGUUUCUUAGUGCUCAACAAUUUUAAUAGAGUCAGAAUCCAGAGAUAUAAUGGAUAAGCAGACUAUUAAUAAAGCACUAUUCACAAUUGCAAAGAC